ACGCCGCGUGAGGGAUGACGGCCUUCGGGUUGUAAACCUCUUUUAGUUGGGAAGAAGGGAGCUUGCUCUUGACGGUACCUUCAGAAAAAGCACCGGCUAACUACGUGCCAGCAGCCGCGGUAAUACGUAGGGUGCAAGCGUUGUCCGGAAUUAUUGGGCGUAAAGAGCUCGUAGGCGGUUUGUCGCGUCUGCUGUGAAAUCUGGGGGCUCAACCCCCAGCCUGCAGUGGGUACGGGCAAACUAGAGUGCGGUAGGGGAGAUUGGAAUUCCUGGUGUAGCGGUGGAAUGCGCAGAUAUCAGGAGGAACACCGAUGGCGAAGGCAGAUCUCUGGGCCGUUACUGACGCUGAGGAGCGAAAGCAUGGGGAGCGAACAGGAUUAAAUACCCUGGUAGUCCAUGCCGUAAACGUUGGGAACUAGAUGUAGGGGCCAUUCCACGGUUUCUGUGUCGCAGCUAACGCAUUAAGUUCCCCGCCUGGGGAGUACGGCCGCAAGGCUAAAACUCAAAGGAAUUGACGGGGGCCCGCACAAGCGGCGGAGCAUGCGGAUUAAUUCGAUGCAACGCGAAGAACCUUACCAAGGCUUGACAUAUACCGGAAACGUCCAGAGAUGGUC
rnacentral:rRNA from 1 species